rnacentral:rRNA from 1 species
CCUACGGGAGGCAGCAGUGGGGAAUAUUGGACAAUGGGCGAAAGCCUGAUCCAGCCAUGCCGCGUGUGUGAAGAAGGCCUUCGGGUUGUAAAGCACUUUCAGUGGGGAAGAAAGCCUUGGGGCUAAUACCCUCGAGGAAGGACAUCACCCACAGAAGGAGCACCGGCUAACUCCGUGCCAGCAGCCGCGGUAAUACGGAGGGUGCGAGCGUUAAUCGGAAUUACUGGGCGUAAAGCGCGCGUAGGCGGUCUGAUAAGCCGGUUGUGAAAGCCCCGGGCUCAACCUGGGAACGGCAUCCGGAACUGUCCGGCUAGAGUGCAGGAGAGGAAGGUAGAAUUCCCGGUGUAGCGGUGAAAUGCGUAGAGAUCGGGAGGAAUACCAGUGGCGAAGGCGGCCUUCUGGACUGACACUGACGCUGAGGUGCGAAAGCGUGGGUAGCAAACAGGAUUAGAUACCCCUGUAGUC